AUACGUAGGGGGCGAGCGUUGUCCGGAAUGAUUGGGCGUAAAGGGCGCGUAGGCGGCGCGGUAAGUCUGGAGUGAAAGUCCUGCUUUAAAGGUGGGAAUUGCUUUGGAUACUGCCGCGCUUGAGUGCAGGAGAGGUUAUCGGAAUUCCCGGUGUAGCGGUGAAAUGCGUAGAGAUCGGGAGGAACACCAGUGGCGAAGGCGGGUAACUGGACUGCAACUGACGCUGAGGCGCGAAAGUGUGGGGAGCAAACAGGAUUAGAUACCCUGGUAGUCCACACUGUAAACGAUGAAUGCUAGGUGUAAGAGGUAUCGACCCCUUUUGUGCCGGAGUCAACACAAUAAGCAUUCCGCCUGGGGAGUACGGCCGCAAGGUUGAAACUUAAAGGAAUCGACGGGG
rnacentral:rRNA from 1 species